UCAGGAUCGGGAUCGGGAUGGGGAUGGGGAUCGGGGUUCCGGCCCGGCACCGGGACCGGAAUCAGGAGCAGGGUCGGGACCGGGAUGGGGAUCGGGAUUGGGAGCGGGAUCGGGAGCAGCCCGUGUGAGCCGUACCCGACAAGGCAGAGGCCCGGCGGGAGCAGCGGUGCCGCUCCCGGGGCCCGGCACUGGCCGGGAGGAUCGCCUCCCGCAGCAGAGCGAUGCGGGCACAGAAGUUUAGCGCUGUACGGAUGGGAAGAGGCUCCAGCGAGCCUUGUAAGCUCAUGGAGACAGGGCAGCAGGUGCCUUCCCAUUGGUGCCCAUAAGUUGCGUGGGGCAGAGGCGAUUUCCUCUUUGCACCCCUGCCAGAAGUGGGUUUUAAUUAAUUAAAUUAGAGAAGGUGUGGCUGGGGUCUCAGGUGAGGUACGUGCCCUCACUGGAGUGCUGCUCAGGUAUGGGGAGCCAGUCUGGAAUAUUCAACCCCAGGAAGGGAUGGGCCUGAUGUCCGCUGUGCCUGUGAGCGCUCUGUGUGCAGCGGGUGGAUGGACAGGCACCCUGGGCAGCAGGACAGGCAGCAGUGUCCCGCAGCACCCACCCCUUGGGCCUGCUGAGCCCGGGUUUUGGUGGCCCAGCCCUCGCCCGUCUGCUCAGUCCUUGCGGGGCAGGUGCCACGCUGCAGGACAAGGGACUGUGGUGAGGAGAUGCCAGCCCCCUUUGCUGCCUUUAAUUGUUCCCAUCCAGUCGGGCAACCCAGAAAGCAGAUCCUCCUUUGGGAAGCAUCAGGUGUGCUUUUCCAUUUGGGCAAGAGGAGCUGACAAUGCAAAGAUCCUAUUCAUUUCCAGCCUCUGGUGAGAGCUGCUGGGCUGAGCAGGGUGGAUGGGGUUUUGUCAGAAGUGAGUAUCUCUCCCCUGUGCAUGGCCCUGAUUUGUCAGUUUAACAGAUGCUCCUCUGGCAGGUAAAGCAGCUUUCCAAUGUGUUUUGUUUGCAUCUGGAAUGGGCAGGUUUCAUAAGCUCAGGCAUCAGGAAUCCCUCCCCGGGGGCAGCCUCCCGGCACCACGAGGCUGGAUCCGCCUUCCCAGCCACAUGAAGUUCCUGGGAAAUGGGUGUGCCAAGGACCAGGGAACAACAAGGAUGGCUGCAGGGAGCAGAGCUGACUGGAAGCAGUGUUUCAGAGCAUGAAUUCUCUGGCUGGACCUCACUGGGACUCCCUUCAGUACUGAAAACAUUCACAGAGGAAGUUCUGUUCCAGAGCACAUUGGGUACCACACUCCUUCAGGACGCAGAGCACAACUUUCACUGCACUGGGGGCAGGAGUGACUGUCCAGGUCACUCAUUUUAGAGUUACAGGACAGUCCUCAGGUAACUGCAGCAAAUGUUUACCUGGGCCGACAGAGCUGGUGGGGAAUAUGAUGCACUUUCAGCUGUCUCUCAGUUUGAUUCAACCCCUGAAAGUGCAGAACAGCACACAGCAUCAGCCAGCUCUGUAAGAGCUGCAGCUCCACCUCAUGCAGACAACUGGAAAGAGCUGAGAGCAGAAAAUAAAAGGUGCUUCCAAGAGUACAUCAUUGUCAUCAAGAGCAACCAGAGGGUUCUCCAUUGUCCUGCCUGCUUGGUGGUGCUGCUUUCCUGAUCUGAAAUUGAAGUUGUCUCUAUUGGGAAGAACAGUGAUAUCCAAGAAAACAAUCAACCGAAGAACACAGAAGUCAUUAAAACACCAAGAAAUAUUUUUUUCAUCAGUGUAAAUGUUUUACGUUUCUGAUACAUUCUGCUGUCUUCUCAGAAGUCAGAGCCUGGCUGCCCACGGACACCACUGAGUUUGGGUGCUCCCAGCGUGUGCCAGUGGAUUGCAGCUUUGGCAUUUCACAUCCUCGAGGAGCCUGUGCUAAGUUUCUAAAUUCUUGCACUGCUGUUUUCUCACCAAUCCCAUUCAGAGUCUGACCUGAGAGCAUGACUUCAUUUGUGUUUUCAGUAAGAACUAUUUUGCUCAAACCUUUGGGUGCUUUUGAAUUACUUUUUUUUUUUUUUUUUUCCUGAAGGGCUAACCCACUAAUUAUACAUGAAAAUUGUACCUCAAAGAUCCAUCUUAAUAAUAUAAUUGUAGUAGCAAAGCAACUGGUGUGAUUAUGUGCAUCAUUGCACUUUUCAGCCAUUAACCAGCUUUUCUUGGUUAAUGAAGUUAGUAAAACCUAGAAUGUGCUUUGCUGGAAUAUAUCCAGUGCAAUCUCAUUAUCACCUACAAGCCUCUGUAAUUGGGGUGAUAAUGUGCAAAACAUUAUAUGGCUGAUAAAGGCAAUGGGAUUAAAAGAGGGCCAAGUUCUGCUCACAGGCACAUGACAGAGCUUGGGGUUUUGGUGUGUGUUUGUGGAAGGCCUGUAGCCCCACGAGGAGUUUUUUGGGGUGGCAUUUUGGGUAGGAGGAGACCACUUGGAAAGACUCCAGCAGCAAAAACUAAUGAGAGCUGCGGCCUCCCAGGAAAGGGAGGAAGAAUUGGUGCUGUCAAGUCAGGAGGAGACUUUAGUGAGGCAUGAAAAUGGUCUUAAACACCUUCAAAAGAGGGAAUAAUCUGUUCUCUGUGAUCCUGCUGGAUAGGACACAGAGGAGUGGGUUACAGCACAGUGGAUGUUGGAGAUUAGGGAAAUGCAGGGUGGAUAACUGAGAACUGGUUGGAUUUAGGGAAAUGCUGGAUGGAUAACUGAGGGCUGGUUGAUUGGAUAGUAGGGAAAUGCAGGGUGGAUAACUGAGGGCUGGUUGGAUAUUAGGGAAAUGCAGAAUGGAUAACUGAGGGCUGGUUGGAUUUAGGGAAAUGCAGAAUGGAUAACUGAGGGCUGGUUGGAUUUAGGGAAAUGCGGAAUGGAUAACUGAGGGCUGGUUGGAUUUAGGGAAAUGCAGGAUAGAUAACUGAGGGCUGGUUGGAUUUAGGGAAAUGCAGAAUGGAUAACUGAGGGCUGGUUGGAUUUAGGGAAAUGCAGGAUGGAUAACUGAGGGCUGGUUGGAUUUAGGGAAAUGCAGGAUGGAUAACUGAGGGCUGGUUGGAUUUAGGGAAAUGCAGAAUGGAUAACUGAGGGCUGGUUGGAUUUAGGGAAAUGCAGGAUGGAUAACUGAGGGCUGGUUGGAUUUAGGGAAAUGCAGGAUGGAUAACUCAGGGCUGGUUGGAUUUAGGGAAAUGCAGGAUGGAUAACUGAGGGCUGGUUGGAUUUAGGGAAAUGCAGGAUGGAUAACUGAGGGCUGGUUGGAUUUAGGGAAAUGCAGGAUGGAUAACUCAGGGCUGGUUGGAAUUGCUUGCACCAGGGUGUGUCAGAGGAUUCUCUGCUGCUGGAGGGCACCAGGAGGAGGGGAGUGAGGAGCUGGAUUUUGUGCUGGUCCCUGGCCUCAGGCAGUGAGGAGGGAGCACCAGUGUCACUACAAUGGUAUUUUAUGGCUUUUAUAUUUUAUGUGAGAGGCUCCUGGCAGAGAGAUGAGAGAUCUCCUUGGUGCUUGCACAAACACAAAGCAGAUCUGCCAGGAGGAUCUGUGAUCAGAAUUCUGCUCUCAGCUGUUACACACUUGGAAUUACUGUCAGGACUGCUGGUGGAAGGGAAAGAAGGCUAUGAAUGUGAAAAAAGGGAAGCAUUACUGCUUGCUCCCUUGGAUAAUACAGGUCACAAGGCUGGUUCUGUUUGUGCUUGCUUGAAUUUCAACAUGUCUUUUCAGGAAAAAAACAUUCAAAUGUUAUUAAAAAACCCUGUAAGGAA